UACGUAGGGACCGAGCGUUGUCCGGAAUCAUUGGGCGUAAAGAGCGUGUAGGCGGCCACUUAAGUCCUGCGUGAAAUCCUGCGGCUCAACCGCAGGCGGUCGUGGGAAACUGGGUGGCUAGAGUGCGGGAGAGGAGAGUGGAAUUCCUGGUGUAGCGGUGGAAUGCGCAGAUAUCAGGAAGAACACCCGUGGCGAAGGCGGCUCUCUGGAACGCAACUGACGCUAAGACGCGAAAGCGUGGGGGAGCAAACAGG
rnacentral:rRNA from 1 species